GGCAAACGGGUGAGUAACACGUAAGCAAUCUACCUCAAAGUUCGGGAUAACCCUGCCAACGCGGGGCUAAUACCGGAUGUGGUGCAAUGGCCGCAUGGUCGUUGUAUUAAAGAAGACCUCUACAUGUAAGUUUUCGCUUGGAGAUGAGCUUGCGGCCCAUUAGCUAGUUGGCGGGGUAACGGCCCACCAAGGCUGUGAUGGGUAGCCGGCCUGAGAGGGCGAACGGCCACAUUGGGACUGAGAAACGGCCCAGACUCCUUCGGGAGGCAGCAGUAGGGAAUUUUGCGCAAUGGACGUAAGUCUGACGCAGCAACGCCGCGUGAGUGAUGAAGGUCUUCGGAUUGUAAAGCUCUGUUGAGUGGGAAGAAAAGUCACGGUUCUAAUAAAGCCGGGGCCUGACGGUACCGCUCGAGGAAGCACCGGCUAACUACGUGCCAGCAGCCGCGGUAAUACGUAGGGUGCAAGCGUUGUUCGGAAUCACUGGGCGUAAAGGGAGCGUAGGCGGAACCGUAAGUUAGAAGUUUAAUACCCGGGCUUAACCCGGGGCUUGCUUUUAAUACUGCGGUCCUUGAGUUUGGAAGAGGGAGAUGGAAUUCCA
rnacentral:rRNA from 1 species